GUCUCGCCUGUUGUAACCAAGCAAUCGCCAACAGGCCCAGUGACGGUAGAGCGCCUCUGGUUUCCAGAUGAGAGAUAUUGUCAAGACAGGUACCAGUUUUUCCCCGUUCAGAUAAACAGUUGAAUUUGUCCAGGAGGUGUUUGGACGUCCGAAAAGGCCGGGGAAUCUAGGACAGAACAUGGAAGACAGCGACGAGGAACCGAUUCGAAUAUACCUGAAAAAUUGCGAGAAAUGAGGGUCGUUUUCUCGCUACUGGGACUUGGCGAGGCAGGUCAAUGCAAAAUACCCACAAGAAGAAGUCAACAAACGGAAAGGAAAACCAGGCCUGGUGGAAGUGUAUCUAAACGGAGAGAUGGUGUACUGUAAGGCAGCUUCUGGCAGUUACCCCUCAUCGGGCGAGAUUGUUGACGCGAUCCUCGAUAUCUCCGAGGCCAAAAGUAGUUCCUCGCUAGCGGAGAAACGCCACAGCGUCAAAACAACCCCCGACAUCAGCUGAGUCAGACCCAAGUUCCCCAAGGAUCCCAGUAGCGACAAUAAAUGUUUCCCGGAUGUGCCUGAUAUCCCGGAUGUUCAAGACGACUCGCCUGUUUGCAUCGUAGACGUGGGAGACAAGGACGACGGGAAGAUGUUUCGAAUGGAACCCCCUCGUACUGGCAUAUCCCGUCUGUGUUCCAUACUGUAGAGUGUUAAACGGAAGAAGAGCUACUUUACAAGCGAUUCCAUUGUUUUUCCUGGCCUGAAAUACAACUUGAAUCCCUUUGAAAUCCUUUUUCCGCAACAAAUUCCCCUCAGUGCAGUCUCCGUAUUUCAUGUUAGACUGAUCCUAACUGUCAGUCAAAUAAGCCGUUCAACCAAUGAUAGCUUGUCAAUUAUCGUUUUGAUCAAUGGUGGCAUGUCCGCCUAAAUAUUUGCAUAUACAUGUUUUGGCGGAGGUGGGCGUGGCAAUGGGAUCGGUCUAUCACAAUAAGCUCUUUCACACUUGUGCAGCGACAGGAAUUGUGGGUAAUGUGUCAAAGGUGAACGCCCCUGGGACAUACACAAAGGAUCUCAGGACAUUGUUAUGCACAUCGAAACAAUGGUCGACACGAGUACUGUUUACAAAUCAGGGGCCUUCACCUUUGACAUAUUACCCACAACUCCCGUCGCCGCACAUGCGUAUUCGGAAGUGUGAAAGAGCUUUUAAUACCUUACUAAUAUGCUUCAUUGUAAUGCAAAACGAUUUUCCGCUUAGAAUUUUACAAAAUUCACCACAUAUUUCUCUGCAAACUAUUUGUAAAGAUAAUGAAAUUCCACACUCUCAACAGUUUAUAACAGAUGCACACAUUGUGAAAUUUUGUACUUUUCAACUUAUAUGAGUAGAAGGAACAGAAAAUGUCAUGAAAAAACUGUGUUCCACUUUGUAUUUUGGACAACAUUCAAAGUACGCUCAGAUUCUAGCUAUUUUUGGUACAUGUAGUUUGUAACAUAGAUAUGCAGUAUGUGUGGUAUGAAACCCGGACGUUAGAGUGAAGCGGUAUUAAUGAAGGCCUGCGCCGAAACGAUGAUGCUUCGGGGCGUAGACCUGAUCCUCUUACCGUUAUACUCAAUAGAUGUUGUUUUCUACAAUAUAUAAUAUCUUGGAUGUAUAAAUUAUUUACCUUGAAGUUUGUAUUUAUGUUUUGUAUCUCUUUAUGUAUAAACAACAUCUACGUCUUGCUA